rnacentral:rRNA from 1 species
UAUCGGAACGUGCCCAGUCGUGGGGGAUAACGUAGAGAAAUUUACGCUAAUACCGCAUACGAUCUAAGGAUGAAAGCGGGGGACUUCGCAAGAGGCCUCGCGCGAUUGGAGCGGCUGAUAUCAGAUUAGGUUGUUGGUGAGGUAAAAGCUCACCAAGCCGAUGAUCUGUAGCUGGUUUGAGAGAACGACCAGCCACACUGGGACUGAGACACGGUCCAG